UACCAGCCGGGGAGGCAGCGGAACCCUGUACCUGAAAUCCGCUAUAGCAGGGGUGGUAUCCCGAAACGAGGGCUGUUGACUUGCAAUACGGUUUUCUUUACGUUGCGUUGAAGAAUGGGUCUUGCGCGAUCGGCGGCUGUGAACCAUGUCAGAUGGGGAACCAAGCAGCAUUAAGCAGUGCGGCUGAUGUGCCGCGGGGUCGCCUGUUCUGAGUACCGUUCG
rnacentral:SRP_RNA from 1 species